rnacentral:rRNA from 1 species
UACGGCGGGUGCAAGCGUUACUCGGAAUUACUGGGCGUAAAGCGUGCGCAGGCGGUUUGUUAAGUCUGUUGUGAAAUCCCCGAGCUCAACUUGGGAAUUGCAAUGGAUACUGGCAGGCUGGAGUAUGGUAGAGGAAGGUGGAAUUCCCGGUGUAGCAGUGAAAUGCGUAGAGAUCGGGAGGAACACCAGUGGCGAAGGCGGCCUUCUGGACCAAUACUGACGCUCAUGCACGAAAGCGUGGGGAGCAAACAGG